UACGAAGGGGGCUAGCGUUGCUCGGAAUUACUGGGCGUAAAGGGAGCGUAGGCGGACAGUUAAGUCAGUGGUGAAAGCCCAGAGCUCAACUCUGGAAUUGCCUUUGAUACUGAUUGUCUUGAGUAUGGGAGAGGUAUGCGGAACUCCGAGUGUAGAGGUGAAAUUCGUAGAUAUUAGGAAGAACACCAGUGGCGAAGGCGGCUCACUGGCCCGGUACUGACGCUGAGGCGCGAAAGCGUGGGGAGCAAACAGG
rnacentral:rRNA from 1 species